CGGACGGGUGAGUAAUGUCUGGGAAACUGCCCGAUGGAGGGGGAUAACUACUGGAAACGGUAGCUAAUACCGCAUAACGUCGCAAGACCAAAGAGGGGGACCUUCGGGCCUCUUGCCAUCGGAUGUGCCCAGAUGGGAUUAGCUAGUAGGUGGGGUAAUGGCUCACCUAGGCGACGAUCCCUAGCUGGUCUGAGAGGAUGACCAGCCACACUGGAACUGAGACACGGCCCAG
rnacentral:rRNA from 1 species